rnacentral:rRNA from 1 species
AUACGAAGGGGGCUAGCGUUGUUCGGAAUCACUGGGCGUAAAGCGCGCGUAGGUGGACUAAUCAGUUGAGGGUGAAAUCCCGGGGCUCAACCUCGGAACUGCCUUCAAUACUGUUAGUCUUGAGACCGAGAGAGGUGAGUGGAAUUCCUAGUGUAGAGGUGAAAUUCAUAGAUAUUAGGAAGAACACCAGUGGCGAAGGCGGCUCACUGGCUCGGUACUGACGCUGAGGUGCGAAAGCGUGGGGAGCAAACAGGAUUAGAUACCCCAGUAGUCC